rnacentral:lncRNA from 1 species
UCUUCAUUUCAAUCCUAAAUGGAGACAGUUUUGCCCUUUGGGCACAGAGACUGAAAGGCCUCCUCCCCUUUGGAAUUCAAAACAGAAAUGAAAAACAUCACUCUAAAAAAGGUCAAGAUUCAGGUUUCAGAGAUUUGCCAGUGCAACUGGGAACCAGACAUCAAAAAAAAAUUAAAAUACUACUUUCAUUUCUGGAACCACUUGACACAUCUGUAAGUGUCUAAAUGUAGCCUGUAUCAUGGACUAACCCACUGAUGAGAUCGUAAAAGUUUUGUGAGCGGAUACAGCCAAACUCUAUCUCCCAGGAUUCAAGGAAAUCCUUUUGUUUUCUAAAGUCAUUUCAAAGAUGCUAUUUAUCAUCCGUUGGGAGAAUGAAUAUUGAAGCAUCAGUGUUUUGCUUUCGGUCAGCUGUACAAGUCUACAAAGAGGAUGCUAAUCAAACUGAUGGGAAUGAAAUUGCCUCAUAACUCUCCAGACGUGAAGAGCAUCUCUGAAGAAAAUUACGUACUUGUCAAAGCAAGGGGGAAUUUAUGUUGGUGUUCCUGAGAUGUGAUUUUAUUCCGUCUAUUUCCUUUGUGCACAUCAGAGCAACAAGAGAGACAAAAAACAACGAGUUUAUGGAUAUUUUUUUCACUCUGGUGCAUUUUUUGCUUCUAUUUUUCCCUUUUGUUUUCUUAUUCCCCCCUCCUUUCAUCUAUGUUUAUUGCCAGUGACAGUAAACUUCCAUACAACAAUGCUGUGAUGAUAGUAGCAAUGAUUUCUACCAGGAUAAGGCAGUUCAAACAAGCACAAAGAUGAUUUCCCCAUGGACAGUUCCAGAAGGUGUGGGUUACAUUUUUGAGUCCUACCCAAAACUGGCCAGGGACGAUUUGGAUACAAAAGUCUUGUUAAUGUUCCUUCCAAGCAGUGGCAUGCUUCCUGAAAUUAAAUUCUUUUCCCUAGAUUGCACAUUAUGGCUUGCACUUCCUGCAUUUUGUUUUCUGAAUUUAGAAGCUGCAGAAUCUUGUUUGCUUGGUAGGUUCACUGUAAAUGAUACAGUAAAAGUAGCAGAAAAUUUGGAGACAGCCACACCUGGGUUCAAAUCCCAGCUCUUUGCCUACCUGGCUGGGGAAGAUGUGCAACUUUUCUAAGCUUUUCUUAUUGGUUCAACAGGACUGCCCACUUCAUGUCACUAUUUUAAGGGUGAGAUGAGAGAGCUUCCAAAAUGAAAAGCUAUGUAGCUCUGCAGUUAGGAGCUGGGAUUCUUGAAUCACCAAGGAGUUUCAAGGUCACCUGGC